AAGCACCGGCGAGAUUCGAAAUCGCGAUCACCUGCAUAAUAGACAGGCGCUUUAACCAACUAAUCCAUGGCGCC